CUGUGGCAGAGGGCACUGCUAUGUAUCUCAUUCAGGGCAUACUGUUAAAGAAGAGCCAUCGUCUUCUGAUCUCUCUGGGAAGUCUGAGGCAGAUGGGAGAAGCCGUCUGAGGUUGAAAAUGCUUAAUGGCUAGAAAAGAACGGGAAGCCCCCACAUUACCGAACACGAGUCGCUGAUAACCGUUAUAUGAUGGAUCACAUGUCACAUUCUGAAAGCAUGAACAUUUAAAGUGUUUGGGUAUCAACUAAUAUAAUAAAUAAACAAUGAUGCCUGAAA